rnacentral:misc_RNA from 1 species
GAUGAAGAACGCAGCGAAAUGCGAUAAGUAAUGUGAAUUGCAGAAUUCAGUGAAUCAUCGAAUCUUUGAACGCACAUUGCGCCCCUUGGUAUUCCGAGGGGCAUGCCUGCUCGAGCGUCAUUAUAACCCCUCAAGCUCAGCUUGGUGUUGGGGCCUGCUGCACUGGCAGCCAUUAAAAUCAGUGGCGGCGCCAUCUGGCUCUAAGCGUAGUAAUUCUUCUCGCUAUGGAGUCCUGGUGGAUGCUUGCCAUCAACCCCCAAUUUUUCUAUGGUUGACCUCGGAUCAGGUAGGGAUACCCGCUGAACUUAAGCAUAUCAAUAAGCGGAGGA